GUCCACGCCGUAACGAUGGAUACUAGCUGUUCGGAGCAAUCUGAGUGGCUAAGCGAAAGUGAUAAGUAUCCCACCUGGGGAGUACGCACGCAAGUGUGAAACUCAAAGGAAUUGACGGGGCCCGCACAAGCGGUGGAGCAUGUGGUUUAAUUCGAUGAUACGCGAGGAACCUUACCAAGGCUUAAAUGUAGAUUGACAGGACUGGAAACAGUUUUUCUUCGGACAAUUUACAAGGUGCUGCAUGGUUGUCGU
rnacentral:rRNA from 1 species